rnacentral:lncRNA from 1 species
AUAGAUGGCAAAGGGCUGAAGAAGGCUCACACCUUGAGGCACCAGCAAGCAAGAGGCUGGGAACAAGAGCAGGAAAAAGCAGAGAAGCCCAAGGAGAUGGGAUCAAUGAGUUCAGGGGAAAAGGGGCAGACCUGGGCAGUGUCCUAGAAGCUAAAUGAGAGCAGUGCUUCAGCUAAGAAGGCAUAGCAACUCCUUUAUAUGAGGAGUGAGAAUUAGCCAUGAAACUUCACAGGCAGGUCAUCGUUGGUGCACUGGACAAGAGCAGUUUGGUUGGAGUAUGGAGGUAGGGUGAGAUGAAAGCCUCAUUGGAGAAGGUUCAACAAGAAUAGAGUGAGAGGAACUUCACACAAAAGCUUCAGCAGCGCUCCGUGAAGUGACAACCACGUCCCUCAAAUUCACUCUUGACUGUGUUUUUAUUUUCAUAUGUCGUACUUCUUACCUAGGCCUUCAUAUCACAGUCAUCUAAACUGAGAACAGAUCAAGGCUGUGGCUCACCAAAGGUAAAAACUAACUGGGCAAAGCAAAGAAGGAGAAACAAUUUGAAAACUCAGAGAAUUCAACUUGUGACUCCUUCUUCGCUUUGCCCACCUUUGCUGUUCUUGACCGUUCUUUGGUUUAUGCCUUAUUAUCUCCUGCUUCCCAGUUUUAAGAUUCCCUAAACAAAAUUAAAAAAAAUAGUGUGUCGAGACAUUUCCUUUAAAGUGAUUAAAUCUGAGCAGCAUUAACUAAAUG